rnacentral:rRNA from 1 species
UACGAAGGGGGCUAGCGUUGCUCGGAAUUACUGGGCGUAAAGCGCACGUAGGCGGGUUCUUAAGUCGGUGGUGAAAUCCUGGAGCUCAACUCCAGAACUGCCUUCGAAACUGGGAAUCUUGAGUCCGGGAGAGGUGGAGUGGAACUGCGAGUGUAGAGGUGAAAUUCGUAGAUAUUCGCAAGAACACCAGUGGCGAAGGCGGCUCACUGGCCCGGUACUGACGCUGAGGUGCGAAAGCGUGGGGAGCAAACA